UGGUGCCCAAAAUUGCAUAGUAGUACUGGUUGUAGGCUAUAGUAUUGUGGAUUUCCCUGGUGCUUGAGAUAGAAAAGUUGCUCCUUUUGCGGCUAGGGUUUAGUAUUGAGAUGGAUUUUCAUGUUUGGGUUUAGGGCUAUGGCAAUACCCUGUUGUGAUGAGCUUGAAUUGAUGUUUGGUAGGUGUUGACAGUGAUGAGUUCACAGUAGAGGUGCACCAUGGUGGAUUUUCUGUUGGGCAAGGUUCGAACAGGGCAUACGUUGAUGAGAGAGUGAACUGGUUUGAUCACUGUGAUAUUGAUACUUGGUCUCCACUUUGGUUUGAGGAUUUUUUUUUUGAGGAAUUGCAUUAUCCAAAAUCAGCAGCUUUUAAGAUAUAUUGGUUACUACCUGGGAAGGACCUUUCAGAUGGUCUUAGAAUUAUUGCUGAAGACAAAGAUACAAUGGUGAUGGCAUCAGUGGUUAACCGGCACAGAAACCUUGUGGUGUAUUUUGAUCAUGAUAAUAACUUUGCAGGAAUAAACUGGGAUGAUAUAGUGAGUUGAGAACAAAACAAAAGGUGUUUAGCCCAUCCAAGGUGAUUGUGGUUGAGAACAAAACAAGGGAGAAAUUACUUGAUUUUUACUCCAAUUUGAAUAACAGUGAAGAGGAUGUGGGUGCAGGCAUAGCUGAACUUGGAAGAGGCAAUGGUGGGGAGGAAAGUGACAGUGACAGUGACUCAGAUUUCGUGGAUAGUGACUAUGAAAUAGAAGAUGAUGACGACGACUUAUUUGUUGAGAAUGUAGAUGAGGAUGUGGCUGACCUGGGAUAUGGUAAAGGCAAGGGCAAGAAGGCUGCAGGGAGCAAGUUGAAGAGGAACACAAUGCCUUUUGAGGAUAGUAAUGGCGUUGAGUUGUCUACUGAUGAAGAUGACCUGCAGCUACCAGAUUCUGAUGGAGAAGGUGAGUUCAAAUUGAGGUUCAAGUCAUUCAGACCAGAAGACAUGGAAAAUCCAGUUUUCAAAGUUGGCAUGAUCUUUGAAUCUGUUGAGUUGCUUAGGAAGGCUAUCACAGAGUAUAAUGUUAAGCAUAGAGUGGACAUCAAGAUGCCAAGGAAUGAGAAGAAAAGGCUCAGAGCUCACUGUGAAGCAAGUUGUCCAUGGAAUCUUUAUGCCUCAAGUGACAGCAGAAGUGAAGAUUGAUGGUGAAGACUUAUUAUGGUAAGCACACAUGCCAGAAGAAAUGGUUUGUCAAAAAAUGUACAUCAACAUGGCUAGCUGAGAAAUAUGUUGAGUCAUUUAGGGCAGACUAGAAGAUGACACUUGCCAAUUUUGCAAGGACAGUUCAAAAGGAGUGGAAUCUCACACCAUCCAGAACUAAACUAGCUAGAGCUUGUAGACUUGCAAUGAAGAAAGUUCUUGGGGAUGAGGUAGAUCAGUACAAGAGGCUAUGGGACUAUGGUCAUGAAUUGAGGAGGAGCAAUCCAGACAUUACUUUCUACCUAAAUCUGAAUGGAAAUAUUUUUUGCUCCAUGUAUGUGUCACUUGAUGCCUAUAAAAGGGGUUUUCUAGCUGGAUGUAGACCUCUCAUAUGUCUUGAUGGAUGCCACUUGAAGACUAAGUAUGGAGGUAUCAUGCUGACUGCUGUUGGAAUUGAUCCAAAUAAUUGUAUAUAUAUCCAAUUGCAUUUGUUGUUGUGGAAGUUGAGGCAUUAGCUACAUGGAAGUGGUUCCUGCAGACUUUGAAGGAAGAUCUUGGCAUUCAAAACACUUAUCCCUGGACACUUAUGACAGACAAACAAAAGGGUUUAGUUCCAGCUGUGGGUCAAGUUUUUCCUGAGGCUGAGCAUAGGUUCUGUGUAAGGCAUCUGUGCUCCAAUUUCCAGCAACAUUUCAAAGGUGAGAUCUUGAAAAACCAACUGUGGAUGUGUGCAAGGUCUACUACAGAAACUAAAUGGAACAUGAACAUGGGGAAAAUGAGGGAAUUAAACCAGGCAGCAUAUGAUUGGCUACAAGAUGCCUCCUAAGACUUGGGUUAGAGCCUUUUCAGUUCUUACUGUAAGUGUGACAUACUAUUGAACAACAGUUAUGAGGUUUUCAACAAGUACAUACUGGAAGCUAGAGGAAGAUGCUUGUUUUGAGUAUGUUAGAGCAGAUAAAGAGACAACUGAUGACAAGACACUAUACUAAGGAAAAGGAAGUGGGUGAAAUGUGGCAGGGCCCUAUCUGUCCCAAGAUAAGGAAGAAGAUAGCCAAAAAUACAGAGUGGGCUAACACAUGUUAUGCACUGCCUGCUGGUAAGGGAAUUUUCCAGGUGCAGUCAUUGGACACACAGUACAUUGUUGACAUUGUUCAGAAGCAGUGUGACUGUAGAAGAUGGGACCUGACUGGUAUCCCGUGCUCCCACGCCAUCUCAUGCAUGAGGCAUGAGAGAAUCAGUCCAGAGUCAGUUGUCCAUGAAUGCUAUUCAUCUGCUAGGUAUCCGAUAAUAUAUGGCCCUAAAAUUUGACCUUGCAAUGAUCAAAGUCAGUGGACAAAAGUCAUUGAAACUGAAGUUCUCCCUCCUGUUUAUGAAAAGAAGGUUGGCAGACCUGCCAAGAAUAGAAGGAAGCAGCCUCAUGAGGUUGAAGGGAAGAAUGGUCCUAAAAUGUCAAAGCAUGGAACUAUAAUCACUUGUUCCUAUUGUGGUGGAAAAGGUCACAACAAGGGUGGAUGUAACCUCAAGAAGGCAGGACUUAGGCCCAAACUGCUUGUUCAGAGGGGUCCUAAUGUUCAACUGGAGGAAACCAUAGAAAAAACACAUGCAUCAGGGGAUCCAAAUGUUAGCCAGGAGUCAAUGCAGUUUGAGGAAGGAAGUCAGCCACUACUAUCACAGAUGUCCAACACAAUGCUUUCUCAAAUGAAAGAAGAGCCCUAGGCCAGCGCAAGGAACCUGUAGUCUGAACCCUUGCCAGAUUCUGCAUUCAUCAUGUCAAACAUUCCAUCGACAAGGCCUGUGCCACCUACCUCUGCAACCAAGAAAGGAAGAUCAAGGGCAACUAAGGAGAAGGCCACUUCUCCACCUAAGAAGAAGGCCACUGCUCCACCUAAGAAGAAAACUAAGACUUGAUGGUCUUAUGCUUUUCUAUAGCAGCAACACAAACACUAGUGAUGCUUUUGCUCUUUUGUAUAGCAGACACAGAAAUGGAAUUUCUGUGCAUGGCUGUUAGAUAGUACGAGAUAGUUCAUGGAAGAUAGAUGAACAUUAGAAUGUAUUUUGGCCAGCUUCAUGCUACGCACUAAAACAAUGCAACUGUGGAUGUCCGCAUUCAUAACAAUGUGCCAGAAUUUAUAUCUGCAUUCAAACUUCCAUCUCUCAUUACAUAACAACUAAGGGUUUGCAUACAUAGAUACAGACUGUGAACUCUCACUUGGUAAUCUGAACUAGCAUACUAGCAUAGACACAAACAGGAUACAAACACAAAUCAAGCACAGUGCCUUGACCAAACUGACUAACUCUUUCCCAAUUCCUACACAUCCAGGGUGUUCCUUCGCCCAUACAUUGCCAUU